rnacentral:rRNA from 1 species
GGAGGUUGUGCCCUUGAGGCGUGGCUUCCGGAGCUAACGCGUUAAAUCGACCGCCUGGGGAGUACGGCCGCAAGGUUAAAACUCAAAUGAAUUGACGGGGGCCCGCACAAGCGGUGGAGCAUGUGGUUUAAUUCGAUGCAACGCGAAGAACCUUACCUACUCUUGACAUCCAGAGAACUUAGCAGAGAUGCUUUGGUGCCUUCGGGAACUCUGAGACAGGUGCUGCAUGGCUGUCGUCAGCUCGUGUUGUGAAAUGUUGGGUUAAGUCCCGCAACGAGCGCAACCCUUAUCCUUUGUUGCCAGCGGUUCGGCCGGGAACUCAAAGGAGACUGCCAGUGAUAAACUGGAGGAAGGCGGGGAUGACGUCAAGUCAUCAUGGCCCUUACGAGUAGGGCUACACACGUGCUACAAUGGCAUAUACAAAGAGAAGCGACCUCGCGAGAGCAAGCGGACCUCAUAAAGUAUGUCGUAGUCCGGAUUGGAGUCUGCAACUCGACUCCAUGAAGUCGGAAUCGCUAGUAAUCGUAGAUCAGAAUGCUACGGUGAAUACGUUCCCGGGCCUUGUACACACCGCCCGUCACACCAUAGGAGUGGGUUGCAAAAGAAGUAGGUAGCUUAACCUUCGGGAGGGCGCUUACCACUUUGUGAUUCAUGACUGGGGUGAAGUCGUAACAAGGUACCAAGGGCGAA